rnacentral:lncRNA from 1 species
GCUUUGACUGUUGAAAAGAGACCUUUGGCACACAUUGAAGGGAUGUGAUGGAGAUGCCAAUCCAUGGAAUCAGGUGGCACAGCUAUGUUGGUAGCUAUACCAGAAGUCUACUUGGCAAAGAUUCCUCCAGAGAAGGAAGAAAGGAUGCAACGAGUUCCACCAGUUUUCUUUGGGCAGCUUUCCUGGAAUCAGGAUAUGUUCUCUGCAGGAAGAAAGCAAAUGUGCUAUACUUAAAAUUCAGUGUGUG